ACUAACCUAAACAUAGAAAGCAAACUUCUACUGUUUAUAUAUCUAGGGACAACUCUGGCGGUAUCCGCACGUGCAGCAGUCAGGACAGAGCCGCGGUUUUCGCCACAACAAACGACAUGUUUACUGUUUCGCAGACUUAAAAAAAGAACAACAACACAGCUGCUCUACAUGGAGCAACUGCGAACAGGAAGGACUCCCGGCACGGCAGCGCCGAGCGCGUGAAGCUUCCGGGUUACCGGGGCAACGAACUGGAAUGGAUAUUUAAAGGCG